AGCUGUCAGAGAGUCCCUCUCCAGGUACCUGCCUUUUUUUCCUUCUCUUCUGUGCUGGGAACCAGUGGCUGUUGAAUAGCAGCUAAGAGCCCAACACAUGUGCUCUUCUGAGAACCAGGGACCACAAUGCAUUGGGCAUUGGGACUACUUUAUUGGCCACUCUUAAGUCUUUUUAAGUGUGAUUCUAGGGCUGCAAGGAGAUGAAGAUAUCAACAAGUGAGGAGAAGGUUGGUAUUAUACACAUGAUGUGAACCUUGCCCACUGUGCCCUGGGGCUUCCCAAUGGUGAUCCAUAUACCUCUCUGAAGCCUUGACUGGUGACAAGAUGAGAUAAGCGACAUGAUUAUUCACCAGAAAGUUCGGUCCCCAAGGUCUCUUAGGGAAACCCAAACCCAUAUAUACAACCUCCCAAGAAGCAUACUAUUUUCAGCCACUGCACAGCAGACUCCAUUAAGAAAAGUAACUUAGCUUAAUUGGAUGCAGAUUUUUUUAAAAAAGGUAAUUGCUAUCUUUCAAUAAUAUUUGAACUACUGAUCCAAAAGAUACCUUUAUACAAUAGUCUCCCCAUGGGUAACUGUAACAGAAUUAAAUUUAACCAUAACGGUGCCA
rnacentral:lncRNA from 1 species